UACGUAGGGACCGAGCGUUGUCCGGAAUCAUUGGGCGUAAAGAGCGUGUAGGCGGCUUGCUAAGUCUUGCGUGAAAUCUCGGGGCUCAACCCCGAGCGGUCGUGGGAAACUGGCAGGCUAGAGUGCGGGAGAGGAGAAUGGAAUUCCUGGUGUAGCGGUGAAAUGCGCAGAUAUCAGGAGGAACACCUGAGGUGAAGACGGGUUGCUGGGCUGACACUGACGCUGAGGCGCGAAAGCCAGGGGAGCAAACGGG
rnacentral:rRNA from 1 species